AACGAACGCUGGCGGCAGGCCUAACACAUGCAAGUCGAGCGAAGCCUUCGGGCUUAGCGGCGGACGGGUGAGUAACGCGUGGGAACGUGCCCUUUGGUACGGAAUAGCCCCGGGAAACUGGGAGUAAUACCGUAUGUGGUCGAGAGACGAAAGAUUUAUCGCCAAAGGAUCGGCCCGCGUUGGAUUAGGUAGUUGGUGGGGUAAUGGCCUACCAAGCCGACGAUCCAUAGCUGGUUUGAGAGGAUGAUCAGCCACACUGGGACUGAGACACGGCCCAGACUCCUACGGGAGGCAGCAGUGGGGAAUCUUAGACAAUGGGGGAAACCCUGAUCUAGCCAUGCCGCGUGAUCGAUGAAGGCCUUAGGGUUGUAAAGAUCUUUCAGCGGGGAAGAUAAUGACUGUACCCACAGAAAAAGCCCCGGCUAACUCCGUGCCAGCCGCCGCAGUAACAC
rnacentral:rRNA from 1 species